GGUUAGCAUCACAGCCUAGAGUUAAAAUCUGCAACACUACCUUUUCCUCUAGUUACGCCUCUGACACGGGCGUAGUCUCAUAUAUAGAUGUGUGUAUAUAUAUAUAUAUAUAUAUAUAUGUGCCUCUUGUCACAUUGUGUUUGUUAUUACUUAUAUGUGCUAACCUGCACUGAGCUUUGUAAUUAAAAAAAUAAGCAAACACUUGUUUUGAUGUUCGAAGUUUCUAACAUCAAGUGUUUAUGUGUGUAGUAUAGUUGGAUGCCGCGUAUCAAUGUAAUUUGAGGUGUCUUAUCACUCUGACUGCCUCCCGUGUUUCUGUCUAUUUGUCGAGUAAAUGUGAAACCGUCAGCAACAUAAAACCCGUCUAUCGUGACAACACAUCACAGAACAAGCUGGGUCACAUUUGGAAAUAGGUGUUGUUAUCUCCGGCACUUGAUCAGAAAUGUCGCCGCAGGCCGUCGUGCAGAUAUCAAUCAACCCAAACGAUUACAAAGAUGGUAUUUACGAUAUUUUAAAACUGGUGCGGCCCUCCUGGCAGCAGGAUUCCAUAUUCUUCAAAGUUUUCAGUGAAGGAAUUACCAAUCAGUUGGUGGGUUGCUACCAAAAUGAUUCACACAGUGACAUGGUCCUUGUUCGCCUCUAUGGGAAAAACACCGAGCUUCUUAUUGACCGCAAAUUAGAGUAUUUAUCCAUGACCCUCCUGAAUUCAAAAGGUAUGGCUCCAGACGUUUACUGCUGCUUCAGCAAUGGUAUGUGUUACGGUUAUCAACAGGGACGGCCCAUCAACGUACAUGAAGUGUGUGAUCCAAAAAUUAGCGGUCUGAUUACACAAGAAAUGGUCCGCUUACAUAGCAUCAAAGCUAGUGAAGUUGAUGAUUUGCAAACUUACAGUGUGUUCUUCAAAGGUGAACCAAUUCUGCUCAAGAAAAUGAAGAGCAUGCUACAGAUUAUUCCAAAUAAAUUUGAAGACAGCCAGACACAACAAAGGUACACAUCUGAGAUUUUGGAUAAAAUAAACCUGUGGGAUGAGUUCAAUGACCUCUGCAAGGUAUUUGAGAAUUGCGAUGUGCCCGUAGCCAUCUGCCAUAAUGAUCUGCUCUUAAACAACAUCAUCUACAAUGCCAAAACAGAUUCAAUUUCCUUCAUAGAUUUUGAAUAUACCUAUGAGAACUACAUUGCCUAUGACAUUGCCAACCAUUUCUGUGAAUAUGCUGGAGUUGAUGAAGCUGACUUCUCUCGUUGUCCCAAUGAAGCAUAUCAACUGAAAUGGAUAAAGAACUAUCUAGAACUUUACAAGAAAAUGGCCUCUCCACAAGGUUCUAAAACUCAUGCUGUCACUGAUGAAGAAGUUAGACACAUGUAUAUCUGGGUUAGCAAAUUUUUUGCAUUAUGGUAUUCUCCGCCUCAAUGAAUAUCUUCGCUGUAAGCACUUCCUCUACGUACAGCUGCCUAAUUCGAACAAUCCCUCUUAGCGAAACAUUGACUAAGAUUACUUGGAGAACUGUUU
rnacentral:misc_RNA from 1 species